GCCGGGGUCGCCUAGCCUGGUCCAGGGCGACACGCAGUAAACCCGUUGGCCGUAAAGGCCGCCCGGGUUCGAAUCCCGGCCCCGGCGCCA
rnacentral:tRNA from 1 species